UUAUCAUGAUCUUUAUGCUGCAAUAAAAUAUUGGCCACUGUAUGAUUUUGUCAGAUCACAGAUGUUCAACUUGCAAAGUAAAGGAUAUCAAUUUUGCCAGCUGAACUGUGAAAAGAGUGAAGAGCACAUUGCGAUAUGGAAAAAAAAAAAGUUAAAUCCAAAGGGGUUUUAUUUUCAUUAAUUAUAUUUUAAUAUGUGAAAGAAAAGAAAAAAAGAGGUAGACCUAA
rnacentral:misc_RNA from 1 species